UGUGAAGGCCCAGAUCCAUCAGAGUAUCAAUGUUCUUCCUCUCUCUCCUCCCCUCUCACUGCAGACAUGAAACACUGGCUGAGAAACAUCCUGAUUCUGACUCUCUGGCUAGAGUGUAAAGGACAAGACAGCGUGACCCAGCCAACAGGAGAUGUCAUUGCUGCUGAAGGAGACACAGUUACACUUGCUUGUACAUUUGAGACCAGUAGAACAGGUUCUACUUUGUUCUGGUACAAACAAGAAGUAAAUGAUUCCCCAAAGUUUAUGCUGAGACGUUUAAUGUCUGGAACAGCAGCUAAUACUGCAGCUGAAGAUAGGAUUGAUGCUGAAAUCAACGGGACAUCAGUUCCUCUGAAGAUCCAGAAGCUGCAGCUGUCUGACUCUGCUGUGUACUACUGUGCUCUGCAGCCCACAGUGACAGGAAACACCAAA